CCUACGGGUGGCAGCAGUGAGGAAUAUUGGUCAAUGGGCGCGCGCCUGAACCAGCCAAGUAGCGUGAAGGAUGACUGCCCUACGGGUUGUAAGCUUCUUUUAUAAAGGAAUAAAGUGAGGCACGAGUGCCUUUUUGUAUGUACUUUAUGACUAAGGAUCGGCUAACUCCGUGCCAGCAGCCGCGGUACUACGGAGGAUCCGAGCGUUAUGCGGAUUUAUUGGGUGUAAAGGGAGCGUAGAUGGGUUGUUAAGUCAGUUGUGAAAGUUUGUGGCUCAACCGUAAAAUUGCAAUUGAUACUGGCAGCCUAGAGUACAGUUGAGGUAGGUGGAAUUCGUGGUGUAGCGGUGAAAUGCGUAGAGAUCACGAAGAACUCCGAUGGCGAAGGCAGCCUACUAAACAGCCACUGACAUUGAGGUGCGAAAGCGUGGGGAGCAAACAGGAUUAGAUACCCCAGUAGUC
rnacentral:rRNA from 1 species